CACUAGAGUCUUUGCUAAGGACCUUGAUUAGUAGAAUCGGGUGUGUAAUUGCUUGGCUGGAGCGAAAGCCUGCACCCACCCCGGCCCUUUCUGGAUGAGAUUGAGGACCCCUGAUGUGGUCCAUGGACUAGAGCAGUGGUGCCCAGCCCUGCUCCUGGAGAUCUACCAUCCUGCAGGUUUUCAUUUCAACCCUAAUUUGACACCUGAUUCCACUAAUUAGCAGCUCGAUGUAGAAGCAGCUUUAGCUGUUGAAUGAGGUGUGGCUUUGUUAUGUUUGGAGGGGAAACCUACAGCACAGUCAGAUCUCCCAAGAACAGGGUUGGUUAGCACUGGACAACAGGAAAUACCCACAAGUUCUUUUUUGGCUGCAGAGCACCCUCUGAAUUCGAUGUUUUGUGAAAAGUGUGCAUUCACCUCUGUUAAGGGAGGAUUGUAACAGUCGGGCCUAGAGCUGGCUCCCGUCGGGUGGUGGUGGUGGUGGUGGAGGAAAGUGCUCUUCCCUGGAAGGGGCGUCCGCCAGGAGGAAGGAGUCCGUGGAGCGUGUGCUGAUGCGGAGGGGCGCCAGGCGACGGAGGUUGCUAGGCGACCAGGGCAGCCGCACCUGGGCCCUCUGGGAGGGGGCCACCACGUUCUCCGUCUGCGCUGCGGCCUGCCAGGGGGGGGCCUCCCACGGGGGGGUCUCGCCCGGGCCGACGAGGUCGGCGUCUGGCAUGAAGGCGGGGUUCUCAAUUCCCCCUGGGAAGGCGAGAGGAGGACAGUUAUAUCCAACUGAGAAAAAAAUUUUACUUCAAAUUUCUUUAAAUUGUUAACAAACAGUACUUAUAGUAACUGGCUUAGGAGCUUAAUAAACAGCUUUUUUUCAUUGUCACCUCAAAGGUAUUUUACCCAAUCCUAAACUAAACAUGUUAAUCAUGCUGUCUUUUGUGGGUUUAAAAAAAAAUAAAAAAUCAUUGCUGUCACUUAUUUCCCAGAAUUCAUUGCUACUGUUAAAUUCCUUAAUUCAGCACAAACCGUCUUUGCAAAUUAUAUUUGCGAAAACUUAAAGUGCUGGCUAUCGUCGCUUCGGUAUUGUGUGUAAAAUGAAUAUAAAACAAAAUCAAAAUGUGAAAUAGUGCAACCGGUAGAAACAGUAUAAAACCAUGUAUAACCAUCUGUACCAUCAGUAUAAACCUGUAUUACGUUUAUUAAGCUUUCGUGAUUUCUUUUUCUGGGGAGUCAUUUUUUAAACGAUUCUAAAAUAUUUCUUUAGUUUUUUAAAUUUAUUUAUGUAUUUCGUUUCACCUCCAGCCGUGUAUGCUACAGUCAUGGGCAUUCCCCUGGCUGAUGCUGGGUAAUUCGCUGUGUUGUCCACGUGGGCACCGUCUGUGUCCGAGAACUCAAAAUCUGGAGACAAACGGGUCAAUACCUACAGCGUCACCCAUACUAGUCCGGCAACCGAAGGCCUUAGUAUCAGAGGAGAUCAUUAUGAGGCAAAUGUAGAGCUUGUCCUUAUAACUACUACCUAAAAGCACCCGGAACUCUAAAGGCAGAGUACAUUAAACAAUGUAUAAUCUUCCAGUAAUUAAACACACAAUCAAAAUGUUUGUGACUACGCAUGAGAAAUGAACGUACCUUCGUCUAUGAAGGGAUGUCCUUUACUUUUAUUGAUUGAUUUUCCAUUUGGCAUCUAGAAAAAGCAGAGAACAAGUCGAUAAAACAUGCAUUGCCAAAAUAAAAGCUCUGUUGUGUGAAUUCAGAUGAUCCAACAGCUUUUAUUUAGCUUUAGAUUCUGUUUACUGAAAACAUCCCUCAGUGUGGUAAUAGAUGUUUUCAGUAAACGACUGCAUUUGCUGAGGCAGUGCAGUGCAGGUUUGGGGUUAUUUUUCGGUGAAAUGCAGCAUAGGACAAUGGAUGCAAUGCAGUGUGGAGGAUACAUUCCGGUGCAGUACAGUAUAUGAUCAUGGAUACAAUGCAGUGUAGGGGAUACAUUCUGAUGCAGUGUAGUAUAGGACAAUGGAUGCAAUGCAGUGUGGAGGAUACAUUCCGGUGCAGUACAGUAUAUGAUCAUGGAUACAAUGCAGUGUAGGGGAUACAUUCUGAUGCAGUGUAGUAUAGGACAAUGGAUGUAAUGCAGUGUAGGGGAUACAUUCCGGUCCAGUACAGUAUAUGAUAAUGGAUACAAGGCAGUGUAGGGGAUACAUUCUGAUGCAGUGUAGUAUAGGACAAUGGAUGCAAUGCAGUGUAGGGGAUACAUUCUGAUGCAGUGCAGUAUAGGACAAUGGAUGCGGUGCAUUGUAGGGUAGGGGAUGUUUCCCAGUGAAAUUCAGUAUAGGUAAAUGGAUGCAGUGCAGUGUACUGUACUAUAACGUUUGAUGUGUGCUCAGGAUAUUUUGGUAAUGGAUGCCUGACCUUUUGUGUUUGAUCCCUCUUGGGGGGCUUGAUCAUCUUAUUGUGGGUGACGCCCAUUUUGGCAGAUUUGAAGGACUCCAGUCGGCUCCUCAUAGUCCUCUGGAAGAUCUCCUGGACCUCGUUCUCAUCCUUGUUGACACUGAUGUGGCUCCUGCUGUACCUGUGCCUAUGCUGAAGCAGCGCAACCAGCCCGUACGCCACCGCCCCCCGCAGGCCACCGUAGCUCAUGACCACCUGGUCGAUGACCUCCAAAGGAACGAGUCGGUACCGGUUCAGAACCCAGGGACAUGUGACCAACCACUGUCACGCCAUCAUUCAGCAGGGAUUCCCCGAAAACCAGGAUGAAGAGGACUUCAUUCACGUGAACUUCUUCGAAAACAGCAAGCACUGCCACAGGAUCCACUGCAGCAAUCAGACUCCCGAAGAGCAGGUACUGCAGCAGGCCAAUGUCCAGAUCUCCUGCAAGAGGAGCAGAAGGGUCAGGAGCUCUGAAGGAGAACACAAAGAACUCUGAACACUCGUGAACUUUGACCUCUGAAGGAGAGUGCAAAGAACAUGGACUCUCCUCUGCGUAGCCCUCUGAUAGAUUAUUUAGCUUCCCGAACCCUGAGAUAUUCAGGUAAUCAGUGGAAAGUAGUUUUUUUUUACAAUCACCAGUGGACACUCUUGAGUCCUGGUUGUGUCAACCAAACCCAUUUUAUUUGUGACAACUGAUAACCGGGAGUAUCUGAUGCACCACUGGGAGGAACUAAUAAUAAUCAAAUAUUGUGUCCUACCAUAGCUGACAUCCAAGACUCAUAGCUACAACAACAGGGCCUGGAAAUGUGCCUGAGGUGGGCCCAUUGCCUUGGAGGACUCUAACUGGAUGGCAGUGAACAAAAUGCAAUACACCGCCACAUUUAGCUCAGAAAUGAAACCCUUUUAAACUUCUCAGUCUGGAAUCCUAAAAGCAAAAAUUGUG